rnacentral:misc_RNA from 1 species
AGUGGCAGAGAUCUCGAACCAGCUGGCCGGUUUGACAUUACUCGGCGUACGUCAAGCGGGCCGGCUGCCGACCGGCGCAUUCCUCGCUCACGUGUUCAUCACAAUAUAAUGCUUGGAUUAAUAUCGUAUACUUUCAUCCGUAACUUUUGUAUCACUCGCCAAACUUACGAAUGACAGUGAACGCCGAACGGCGACCCAAACAACUAUUUAUAUUACGUUUUUGUUUGUUUCGCUUUAUAAAAUAGUUCGAUUUCGUUGUGUUGCUCGUGUGAAAAGUAUACGUAUUGUGUGCGUGCGAGAACUGUUUUGUGAUAUUUUUGUUCAGUUUCGUUUUGAGUUUUGGACUUGAAGUUUCAACAGUUUACGAGUAAUAACACAUCCGAGCAACUGUCAACCCCAUAGCAAUCGUACGUCGCCAGACGAGUGGCGCGAUGCGGUCGGCGGGGCCCACGUGAGGUCCCGCCUCGACAUGGGCUCUAACAUCAGCCAGCACUCCGCGAAGGGUCUCAAAGGCCGACGCGCCAGGUCCAGCGGCGAUCUUUGCAAUGGCGAUACCAAAAGCCAGACCGAAUCGUCCGUUUGUGGCUCCGUGGUCGGAGAUGUUAUGGGCUGGAACCGGUCCUUGCCAAACCAUUUAGACGGGAACCGUCAUCUGGCUGAUUACAGUCGAGUCAACAACAAUUAUGGUGAUUUUGGAACUUAUAAUCGGUGUCAUCCUAAAGGUGGCCGCGGUCUACGGUACCGAGUGAGCAAAUCUGGUAAGUCUUUUUGCUUUGUGAUUCUAACUACAGAGUGACACCACUGAAUCUGAAUUAAGUAAAACGUAGUCGAAGUCUAAUAAUCGAAAUUUUAUAAUAUUGCUGUAAGUAAUGCCGUAGAAUCGAUAGCAACGUCUACAUUUCGAGAUAUAGGCUUGAUCUAGAGACCUUGAUGUUUUGUUUCUUGAUGACCCUUACAUACGUCAUCACUGUUUUAGUUCGUUACUACUCAUAGGCAUGACCUGUCAUCAAUAUCUUUAUGGGUACGUAUCCAUGCUGACAACAUUUUAUGUUACCAUAAGUCAUAGCGUGCGGAUAUAUUGUCAUGAUUUAUGUGAAAAGGUUCCUGACAAAAACAAACUUCGUAUUGAUUUAUACACGCUUCUGUGGAAAGAUUGAAUUGAAAAGGGUUUCAACAUAAUCAUUUAUUUUGAUCUAUAUCUGAUAUAGCUUCUGUUUGGUUUAGGGUUUUGGAAUAUUAAUAGAAAUCUUUGAUGGAAUUUAAAUAGAUUUCGAUAAGAUUAUAAAAGUAAAACUCCUAGAAGUGUCUUUAAUAUCAAAACUCUGAUAUAACCUACG